rnacentral:rRNA from 1 species
AAAGAUUAAGCCAUGCAUGUCUCAGUAUCCACUAUUUAACAGUGAAACCGCGAACGGCUCAUUACAACAGGUAUAAUUUACUUGAUCUUGAAAGAAUCCUACUUGGAUAACUGUGGUAAUUCUAGAGCUAAUACAUGCCCUAAAGCUCUGACCUCGCGGGAAGAGUGCAUUUAUUAGAUCAAAACCAAGCGGCUUCGGCCGUCUACCACUGACUUAAAGUAACUAAGCUGAUCGUAUGGUCUUGUACCGACGACGUAUCUUUCAAGUAUCUGCCUUAUCAACUUUCGAUGGUAGUGUAGUGGACUACCAUGGUUGUGACGGGUAACGGAGGAUAAGGGUUCGACUCCGGAGAGGGAGCUUGAGACACGGCUACCAUGUCGAAGGACAGCAGCAGGCGCGCAAAUUACCCACUCUCAGAACGAGGAGGUAGUGACGAAAAAUAACGAGACCGUUCUCUAUGAGGCCGGUCAUCGGAAUGGGUACAAUCUAAACCCUUUAACGAGUAUCUAUGAGAGGGCAAGUCUGGUGCCAGCAGCCGCGGUAAUUCCAGCUCUCAAAAUGCAUAGAAUUAUUGCUGCGGUUAAAAAGCUCGUAGUUGGAUCUGUGCUGGGAACUGGGUCCGCCUUCGGGUGUGCACUCAGCUUCCCGGCUUUUUGCUGGUUUUCCCGUUGUGGCCUUUACCGGUUGCAGCGGGUGGCUGGCGAGUUUACCUUGAAGAAAUCAAAGUGCUUAAUACAGGCGAUUUGCUUGAAUAUGGUGCAUGGAAUAAUAGAAAAGGAUUUCGGUUCUCUUUUAUUGGUUUUACGAGCUGAGAUAAUGGUUAACAGAGACAAACGGGGGCAUUCGUAUCGUUGCGUGAGAGGUGAAAUUCUUGGACCGCAGCGAGACGAACUACAGCGAAAGCAUUUGCCAAGAAUG